AGUAAAAGUCGUAACAAGGUUUCCGUAGGUGAACCUGCGGAAGGAUCAUUAUCGAGUUUUUGGUUGGGCUGUCGCUGGCCGCAAGGCAUGUGCACGCCUGGCUCAUCCACUCUCAACUUCUGUGCACUAUCGCAUGUAAGGUUGGCUUUGUGACGGAGGCUGGCUUCGCGGCUGGUCGUCGUUGUAUCGCUGCCUUGCGUGUUUCUUACUACAAACGCUUCAGUUAUAGAAUGUCUUUAUUUGCGGAUAACGCAACUAUAUACAACUUUCAGCAACGGAUCUCUUGGCUCUCGCAUCGAUGAAGAACGCAGCGAAAUGCGAUAAGUAAUGUGAAUUGCAGAAUUCAGUGAAUCAUCGAAUCUUUGGACGCACCUUGCGCUCCUUGGUAUUCCGAGGAGCAUGCCUGUUUGAGUCUCAUGGAAUUCUCAACCUUGCAGUUUUGUUACUGCAAGGCUUGGACUUGGAGGUCGUGUCGGCUCUCGCGAGUCGACUCCUCUGAAAUGCAUUAGUGCGGACGUUACCGGUCGCUUCAGCGUGAUAAUUAUCUGCGCUGCCGUCGACUGGUAUGUGAAGUACGCGCUUCUAACCGUCCUUCACGGGACAAUACAUUGAAACUCUGAGCUCAAAUCAGGUAGGACUACCCGCUGAACUUAAGCAUAUCAAUAAGCGGAGGA
rnacentral:rRNA from 1 species